rnacentral:rRNA from 1 species
UACGGAGGGUGCAAGCGUUGCUCGGAUUUAUUGGGCGUAAAGGGCAGGUAGGUGGUCUUAUUUGUCUGGGGUGAAAUCCUUGAGCUUAACUCAAGAAGUGCCCUAGAAACGGUAAGACUAGAGUCCUGGAGAGGGUCGUGGAAUUCCCGGUGUAGCGGUGAAAUGCGUAGAGAUCGGGAGGAACACCAGAGGCGAAGGCGGCGCCCUGGACAGGAACUGACACUAAGGUACGAAAGCGUGGGGAGCAAACAGG